GCUGUUUCGCUGACGAGUGGCGGACGGGUGAGUAAUGUCUGGGAAACUGCCUGAUGGAGGGGGAUAACUACUGGAAACGGUAGCUAAUACCGCAUAACGUCGCAAGACCAAAGAGGGGGACCUUCGGGCCUCUUGCCAUCGGAUGUGCCCAGAUGGGAUUAGCUAGUAGGUGGGGUAACGGCUCACCUAGGCGACGAUCCCUAGCUGGUCUGAGAGGAUGACCAGCCACACUGGAACUGAGACACGGUCCAGACUCCUACGGGAGGCAGCAGUGGGGAAUAUUGCACAAUGGGCGCAAGCCUGAUGCAGCCAUGCCGCGUGUAUGAAGAAGGCCUUCGGGUUGUAAAGUACUUUCAGCGGGGAGGAAGGGAGUAAAGUUAAUACCUUUGCUCAUUGACGUUACCCGCAGAAGAAGCACCGGCUAACUCCGUGCCAGCAGCCGCGGUAAUACGGAGGGUGCAAGCGUUAAUCGGAAUUACUGGGCGUAAAGCGCACGCAGGCGGUUUGUUAAGUCAGAUGUGAAAUCCCCGGGCUCAACCUGGGAACUGCAUCUGAUACUGGCAAGCUUGAGUCUCGUAGAGGGGGGUAGAAUUCCAGGUGUAGCGGUGAAAUGCGUAGAGAUCUGGAGGAAUACCGGUGGCGAAGGCGGCCCCCUGGACGAAGACUGACGCUCAGGUGCGAAAGCGUGGGGAGCAAACAGGAUU
rnacentral:rRNA from 1 species